AAUGGCGCAUGCAUUCGUCCUUUCCCAAAGUUGAGCUCGUACGCUGGUCCCUCGUUCGUCGGUCAGUUCUCUUUCGUCUUCGGGUUUCAGUUUCCUUCAAAACCAUGAAAGGGCUCCAUUUUCCAAUCCAAUCCAAGUUUUGGAAUCUAAUCUCAAGAUUAUUAAUUUCUCUCAAUUUUAUAUUACGUUUAAUCCGCAAUGGCUAUCUAAAAUCCAAAAAAAAAAAAAAGUAAAUAAAGAGUUGCCUUCUCCCUGUUCUCUGUGCUGGAUCUCUGACUACAUCUAUGGAGGAGUCUUACAGCAACCUCCGCACGAAUCUCUCUCUCUCUCUCUAUUAUGUGUUGUGGUCAGCGAAGGAAAAAAUACCACCGCAUAUGAAGAUUGCUCUCACCAAAAAUGGAACUACUGGAGGCAAUUUAACAUCUCUUCUUGCCCCUGCAGAAGGAUUUGGGCAACAACCACCAAACAAUUGAAAAUGGUUAUUCAAUGUAUCUCAUACACAAAAAAUUUCAAUGUGGAUACAGACAUUGUCAUAAACAGAAAGAUUGAUGCAAAACCCUGAAAUAUGAGUUUGCCAUUUUCCCUCUUCUGCUUGCCAAAAGUAUUAGAGAAUCUUUUUUUCUUAUAUCUUUAAUAUGAGGGGGAGGUGGGAUGAGGAAUGUGUAAUUGUGUAUAUUCUUGAGGAAGAGGAUUUGCAAGUGUGACAUCAAAGAUUAUGCGCAUGAAUACUGUCAGCAUAGAAACAAGGGUUUAUCUGGUUUCCACUACAUUGGUCUUUGUGCUGGCCUCUCCCAGCAAUUGCAGCACCUACCUCAUGCUAAAACACACUGAGAGCUUUGCAUCUUGGAGCUUUGACGUUGGAUAUGUAAAUAUAGCAGCAUGCGCUAUCUAUAGAUAUGCCAUUGUGGUACCAUUGGCAUUUUACUUCUUGCUUCCAUAUCUCAGAACAAAUGCUAGCCUUGUUCUGUUUUGUUGUAUAUGGGGCUAUUCACUCUUCCUUUUUAUUCUGAGCUCUAUAAGUGCAUGCCACAACUGUAGUGUUCCUUUGAUUUGUUUCUUCUGCCUUUUUUUUUUUUUUACUUUUUUAAUGAAGAAACUCAUUUGUACCAUAUGGAAUAUUUUCAGUUUCUGCUGGUUAUUCCAGUGGAGGCACUCUGCUAAAUCAUUAUACUCGAUGUUGGGAUUGACUCGGCAUGUUUUGUUGCUGUCAACCUCAAGCCUUGUGUUGAUGGGAAUCUUUCAAUUGUGGUGUUUGCAACAAUCUAGCUCUGGCAAUCUUCAUCAAAGCCUUGUUCUUUUCCUAAGGCUCUUACUCUUACCACGUGCAUCUGCAACUUCAAAACAUUAGCCUGAGUAAUUUUUCUGGGAGAUGAGAGGGCUUUUUACUGUUUUAAAUUGAAAAAAAUAAAAAAAAUUUUC